AGAGUUUGAUCCUGGCUCAGGAUGAACGCUGGCGGCGUGCCUAAUACAUGCAAGUCGAACGCGCAGCGAGAGGUGCUUGCACCUUUCAAGCGAGUGGCGAACGGGUGAGUAACACGUGGAUAACCUGCCUCAAGGCUGGGGAUAACAUUUGGAAACAGAUGCUAAUACCGAAUAAAACUUAGUAUCGCAUGAUAUAAAGUUAAAAGGCGCUACGGCGUCACCUAGAGAUGGAUCCGCGGUGCAUUAGUUAGUUGGUGGGGUAAAGGCUUACCAAGACAAUGAUGCAUAGCCGAGUUGAGAGACUGAUCGGCCACAUUGGGACUGAGACACGGCCCAAACUCCUACGGGAGGCUGCAGUAGGGAAUCUUCCACAAUGGGCGCAAGCCUGAUGGAGCAACGCCGCGUGUGUGAUGAAGGCUUUCGGGUCGUAAAGCACUGUUGUAUGGGAAGAAAUGCUAAAAUAGGGAAUGAUUUUAGUUUGACGGUACCAUACCAGAAAGGGACGGCUAAAUACGUGCCAGCAGCCGCGGUAAUACGUAUGUCCCGAGCGUUAUCCGGAUUUAUUGGGCGUAAAGCGAGCGCAGACGGUUGAUUAAGUCUGAUGCGAAAGCCCGGAG
rnacentral:rRNA from 1 species